AUCUAGCACAAGCUUGAAGAAUCCAGGCUGUGGGAAGGACACUGAGAAAAUCAAAGUGAGACCUGUCGAAACCAAUGGAAGGUCAACCCAAGAAUGGCAUGCAGAAGACUGGGCCUCACCUGCCAGCAGAAACAGAACGAGGCCCCAGGCUCCCUUUCAGCUCAGACCCUACAUCCUCCCAUGGAGAAGGUCUCCUUGAAAUGCCAAGCUAGAAGAAGUGGCCAUGGCCAACCCUCUCUCCCCAUCCCCGACCCUUUAACCUCUUUCUGGACCUGGCUUAGCAGCAGGAAGCCACAGCUGCAUUGAGUGGUGCCUUGGUGUAACGGCCUGGACUUUCAGCUUUUAUCUCCCCUUCUGGCUGAUGCUCCUGCCUGCAGUAUCAGGGUCAGGGGCUGGUUAAGGAACUGCCUAGACAAAGGGAUGGGCCCUCCAGUCUUCUUUGGUUUUUCCGGUUGCCAGCACUUGCCAUUAGGAUGUUGAUGAGUCCUGGCUGCGUCUCGUGAUUGGUCUUUUUUUUUGUGUGUGUGAUUGCAUUUUUUUUCUCAUCUAGAGAUAAGGAAUAAUCCAAAAGAUUGAGGAAUAGUUCAUAACCAUAAGUCAUUUUGAUGCACAGAUAUUUCGCCUUUGCCGUAUUUCACUUUCUGCUGCAGUGAGAAGGAAUGAAAAUCAUAAACCUAGGGGUGUUUCUUGUACAUCAGAAUCCAGCGUGGUUGUAGCGGGUUGGGUGGCUGUCUCGGGCAGCUCUCCUGUAAGUGACGGUUCUGGGACCCAGGCUCAGAAACUGCACUCCAUGGAUGUUUAUGUAAGCACCACUGCUCUGUGGACUCUUCCUACUCUUCCUGCUCCUAUUUCUAUUCCAAGGUAUCUCGGUCUCUUCCUGAGCAUGAAAGGGAGAUUGUGGAUGAAAUGGAACAAAAGUUUGGUUUUAGUGUUUCAAUCACAGAGUGAUUCCACCAUCUGUGCUCGGGCUUUUGCAACGUCUUUCCACAUUGUUGGGAGCCACUGGCAUCUUGGCUGGUAAGCGAUCGCACCAGCAAAUGCCAGCAUGCGGGUGAAAUCUUUUUCCUUCUCUUGGAAGCUCUUUCUCUGAACAUUAUCGAGAGGGAAGUGCAGGAUUGUUCAGUCAGGCAUGACUAGACUGGGGGGCGGGGGCGAGUCCAUUUUAUAAAUAUAACAAAACGUUCUUUCCGUCGUAUUUGUCAGAUUCCCCCACAUCUUCAGCUCCUUUCCUCUCCUCUUCCAGCAAUAAACAAUGACUAAGUGCACAGUGUUCACGUGUUUCAAUCCAUUUUUGACAAACCUCCUCCCUCGUGCCUUUCACUUUUUAAAUCAAUUACCCUGUCCACAAUGCCUCCCUCACCUCUGUCAUUCAAUUACCAUCUUUCUAUGGCUGUUCUUUUCAACAACAUAAUUUGCCUUUAAUAAUUGAUAUAAAAGAAUUCAAAAUGUAAUCACUGAGCUCACUUAAAAGCUCUCUAAUCAAUUACCAGAAUCUGUGGGUUUGCGACAGAGGUCUCCCUGAGGACUUCAGAAUCCCCUUUUACCAAGCAUCAUUCCGAUAGAAACCAAAUGUAUAAUACAUUCUCUUGUAGCCGGCCAGGCCCAUGAAGACAAAGAACAGGUUUCAAAUGAGCGAUGGUCUGCACAAUGGCUUUAAGGUCCUUUCAGAGAGAAAAUAAUGCCAACAUUUAUCACGUGGAAAUUAAAAUGGAAAUUCUGCUUAAGCCAAGUCUAGAUUUAAGCAUGAGGGGAGCUGACAGGUGCCAGUUUCCAGUCUAGUUACAGGGUCUGCUUUUAACCUUAGCCUGAUUUUCUGAGUUAGAGUGUCUCAGAGUGGCAUGGGGGUGUUUAUUAACAAGGAUCUCAGUUCUGCUGUCAGUGAGAAAUGAGGUCCGAGUUGCUUGUGUAUGGUUGGUCAUUAUAUCUGCUCAUUCAGGGUGGGGAACGGGGACGAGGGCAGAACCGAGCAUCAGGUAGGUCUGAAUUCAGACCCGGAGUCUAAAUUUGUUCCUGAUUUUGAGCAAGUUACUUCUCUUGGAAUGCUUAUUUAUGAUUUCCACAAUUGUAAAUGUAGGAUAAUACUUACCUUAUACAUUUAUUUCUCUUCAUUGCAUUUAUGCCCUUUUAGCAUUCUGUGUUAGCUUAUGAAUUUCAAAUCUUUGUUUCUGAGAGUCAGUGUUCAGCCCAGUUUAAUUUGCUAUUUAUGUUGAUGAUUCUUUAUUGUUGAUUGUACCUUAUUCUCACUCUCGGAGAGGGCAGGUGCACCUUUGAUUCCUACACUGAUGCAUAUUGUAGUUGCUCAGUGACUAUUGGUUGGCUGGGUGAAUGCAUCAGUGACCGUCUCUAGUACCCACACAUUGUACAGCAUCCUUUGAAUUGGGCUGUGCGGUUUUCUUUCCAGGUGAUUUAUCUUCUGAAUUAUGUUUGGUGUGAGUGCUCAUUAAGUCCAGUCUUGCAUCAGCCUGACUGAUGAGUGAACUGGGGUCUAAAUUCAUGGUCAGGGGAAGCCAGCCUGGGAUUAAUCCCUGGCCUCCGUUACUCCUCAGAAGAGACAAAACCUGUGUGGAGAUACUGCCAGGUUGUUGUUGUGUGCAGAAUCUAAUUUAUAGCUGUCCAGGGUCUCCUGAGAAGAACGUGCGUUUAUAUCAUUACUAAACAGUAAUUGAUUGCAAAGCUCGGUUGUGAAAUUUACAGUUAUUGAAUGACUCUAUGUUAGCGCAUAAAUUUCAAAUCUUUAUUUCUAAAAGUCAAUUGAUAUUCAGCCCAAUAAAUAUUUAAUUUAGAUCUAAUAAUGGCAUUAGAGCAAAAUUAAAUUCUCAUUUAGAAACUACAGAAUGACCUGGAUGGGCUUGGGAGUGGUGACUUGGCAGAGAUGAGCAGAGAAACUGUUGGUCUGAUUCUUCCUCCCUUCGCUUUAAUUAGAAGAGACUUCUUGUACAUGGAUUUCUCCUAUUUCAUUGUCUUUGUGAAAAAGUCUCUUUAUGUAGGAAAUGAAAGUCCUUUAUUUGUAGAGCUUUAUGGUUCAUUCAUUCUUUUUUUAUUUUUUUAGGGCCGCACCUGUGGCAGGUUCCCAGGCUAGGGGUUGAAUCAGAGCUACAGCUGCUGGCAGCUGCAGCUCUGAUUCGACCCCUAGCCUGGGAACCUCCAUAUGCCGCGGGUGUGGCCCUAAAAAGACAAAAGACAAAAAAAAAAUCUAGAUCUGAAAGAUGCAGGAGUUCCCGUCGUGGCUCAGUGGUUAACGAAUCUGACUAGCAUUCAUGAGGAUGGAUGCUUCUGGACAUGUGAAGAGCCACUGCUUCAGCCUUUUAAAGACUGGUAUAAACCUAGGUAUAUGUUACCGCCUUAUUAUUGAGGAUUGUACAUAGGAUUCUUCCAUGAAUUUUGAGGGUGGAAUUGGUGCUUUAAAAAUUUUCAUUUAUGGGAGUUCCUGCUAUGGCCCAGUGGGUUAAGAACCUGACUGCAGCAGCUCGGGUUGCUGUGGAGGCACAGGUUUGAUCCCCUGCCUGGUGCGGUAGGUUAAAGGAUCUGGGAUUGCUGCAGCCGUGGGUCAGAUUCAGUUCCUUUUAAGAAACAUAUUUAUUUGAUGGUAAAAGUCCAAUAUGUAUAUUGAAUAAAGUUUUGGCAAAACCUAAAAAGUUCACAGACUAAAAUAAAAUUACCUGCUAUCCCCAAAUCACGGAGAGCCAAAUGAUCAUAAACCAUUAGUAUUUCUUUCCAGAGCUUUCUGUAUGCAUAAUAUACAUGCUAAAACGAUGGGGCAUGCUUUAGCUACUGUGUUGCUUUCUGGUUUUUUUCCCCACAUAAUAUUAUUGUGAACAUUUUCCAAUAUCAUUACAUACACUUGUGAACAUUAUUUUCCAUAGCUACAUCAUAAUUUGUUCAAGUUUCCAUCUAAUAUGGGACAUUUAGAGUAUUUGCAGUUUGGUAGAAUUGUAAAAAGAGCUUUAAUGAACAUCUUGUAAAUUUGAGUUUGUCACUGAUAGUUUUCUUAGAAUAAAAGUGGCAUUUUCAGAUCAUUCUUUAUAAUGGUUUUAAAACUCAGGGUGCAUAAUAGUUAAUACCCGCUGAUGCUGGAAAAAUCACUGAACUGAAAUGAACCCAGACCUUGGUUGACCUGUCUUUACUGCAUACUAGCUGUGUCAUCUCGGGUGGGUCUCUAAGCUCAGCAAGCCUUAGUGUUUUUAUCUGCAGAAUGGGAAUGUAAUUUUCCAUCUCAUCAACCUAUAAGGAGGAUUCAGGGAGUAGCUAAGGGUCCAGCUAGGUGUUGCUUAAAUCAGACUCUGCCAAAGAAUGACCUAAAUUUUAUACAUUUUCUUUGGGUUCUUGUCAACAUUGACCAGUCUUCUAGAAGUUUAGCCAAAUCUCUUCUCAUUCUUUUCAAUCAGGGGUCAAAAAUACGAUGCAUGGACCAAAGUCAUCUCACCCACUGUUUUUGCGAAUGAAGAUUUGUUGGGACACAACCACUCUCACAUGUGUGUGUGUGAAUUUAUAUAAAUUAUAUAAUUUAUAUGAAUAUAUACAGUCUGUGACUCCUUUUAUGGUAUAGAGGCAGAGCAGAAAAUAUUACAAAAAAGCUUUUCUGAACAACUCCAGAGUAUCUGUUUCUGAAGUCUUGGUAGCUAUGUGCAUUGUACGUCUAAAAUCAGAAUAUUUCUGUGGUAGGGGUAGGUAUUAGCUGUGCAUGGCUGAGCUGACUGUUGCAUGUGGAUGCUCCAUAGAUAAAAAAGGGACCAGAAAUGCAGGCCUCUAACUUCGAUUGACAUACAGGUCUUUUUAGGGACUUCUCUGGGAAAAAGCCAGGUUGACCUCAAAGGAGAAUGAGAUGCUUUUAAUUUUUAAAAUUUUUUAUUUUUUGCUCUUUAGGGCUGACGCCUGUGGCAUAUGGAAGUUCCUAGGGUAGGGGGUGAAUCGGAGCUUCAGCUGCUGGCCUAUACCACAGCCACAGCAAAGCUGGACCUGUGCAUCUGCACCCUACACCCCGGCUCACAGCAAUGCCAGAUCCUUAACCCACUGAGAGAGGCCAGGGAUCAAACCUGUAGCCUCAUGGAUGCUAGUUGGGUUCUUAACCAGGUGAGCCAUGACAGGAAUUCCAUGAUUUUUGCUUUGAGCCACUUAGUUUGGGACCAAUGUUUUUGUGGCAAGAGCUCUCUGGUUCAGCCAUGUAUCAACCCACAAGGCACGCACAGUGGGUGGCUUUCAACAGUGCCAUGUACUAGUCCCCAUGCCACAUGCUGCAAACAUGGACAUGAACAAAACUGUGUUCCCUAGCCAUUGGGAUUCCACAAAUUUGUGAU
rnacentral:lncRNA from 1 species